AACGAACGCUGGCGGCAUGCCUAACACAUGCAAGUCGAACGAAGCCUUCGGGCUUAGUGGCGCACGGGUGCGUAACACGUGGGAAUCUGCCCUUCGGUUCGGAAUAACAGUUAGAAAUGACUGCUAAUACCGGAUGAUGACGUAAGUCCAAAGAUUUAUCGCCGAAGGAUGAGCCCGCGUAGGAUUAGGUAGUUGGUAGGGUAAUGGCCUACCAAGCCGACGAUCCUUAGCUGGUCUGAGAGGAUGAUCAGCCACACUGGGACUGAGACACGGCCCAGACUCCUACGGGAGGCAGCAGUGGGGAAUAUUGGACAAUGGGCGAAAGCCUGAUCCAGCAAUGCCGCGUGAGUGAUGAAGGCCUUAGGGUUGUAAAGCUCUUUUACCAGGGGUGAUAAUGACAGUACCUGGAGAAUAAGCUCCGGCUAACUCCGUG
rnacentral:rRNA from 1 species